GACGAACCGAGCGAACGUUAUUCGGAAUAACUGGGCGUAAAGGGCGCGUAGGCGGUCAGCACAAGUCAGUUGUGAAAUCUCCGGGCUUAACUCGGAAAGGUCAACUGAUACUGUGCGACUAGAGUGCGGAAGGGGCAACUGGAAUUCUUGGUGUAGCGGUGAAAUGCGUAGAUAUCAAGAGGAACACCUGCGGCGAAGGCGGGUUGCUGGGCCGACACUGACGCUGAGGCGCGAAAGCCAGGGGAGCGAACGGG
rnacentral:rRNA from 1 species